CAACCGGGAUCUGGUCGGGGCUGAUGAAGUGCACGUGGGUGUCGAUGCCGCCCGCGGUGAGGAUCUUGUGCUCCCCCGCGAUCACGUCCGUCGCGGCACCAAUGGUGAUGUCGACGCCGUCGGAAAUGUCCGGGUUGCCGGCCUUGCCGAUCUUGAAGAUGUGCCCGUCCCGCAGCGCGACAUCAGCCUUGUAGAUGCCGGUGUAGUCCAGCACUACAACGUUGGUGAUGACCGUGUCCGGAAUGUCCUGGUCGCGCGUGCGCUGUCCGUUCUGGCCCAUGCCGUCCCGGAUCA
rnacentral:sRNA from 1 species